GACGAACGCUGGCGGCGUGCUUAACACAUGCAAGUCGAACGGAAAGGCCCUGCUUUUGUGGGGUGCUCGAGUGGCGAACGGGUGAGUAACACGUGAGUAACCUGCCCUUGACUUUGGGAUAACUUCAGGAAACUGGGGCUAAUACCGGAUAGGAGCUCCUGCUGCAUGGUGGGGGUUGGAAAGUUUCGGCGGUUGGGGCUGGACUCGCGGCUUAUCAGCUUGUUGGUGGGGUAGUGGCUUACCAAGGCUUUGACGGGUAGCCGGCCUGAGAGGGUGACCGGCCACAUUGGGACUGAGAUACGGCCCAGACUCCUACGGGAGGCAGCAGUGGGGAAUAUUGCACAAUGGGCGGAAGCCAGAUGCAGCAACGCCGCGUGCGGGAUGACGGCCUUCAGGUUGUAAACCGCUUUCGCCUGUGACGAAGCGUGAGUGACGGUAAUGGGUAAAGAAGCACCGGCUAACUACGUG
rnacentral:rRNA from 1 species